rnacentral:rRNA from 1 species
AGGCGUUUUCCGUGCCGGACCGUGUCCAAGUCCCUUGGAACAGGAUAUCAAAGAGGGUGACAAUCCCGUACUUGACACGACGACCGGUGCUCUGUGAUACGUCUUCUACGAGUCGAGUUGUUUGGGAAUGCAGCUCAAAAUGGGUGGUGAGUUCCAUCUAAAGCUAAAUAUUGGCGAGAGACCGAUAGCGAACAAGUACCGUGAGGGAAAGAUGAAAAGCACUUUGGAAAGAGAGUUAAACAGUACGUGAAAUUGUUGAAAGGGAAACGAUUGAAGUCAGUCGUGACCGAGAGGCUCAGCCGGUUCUGCCGGUGUAUUCCCCUCGGUCGGGUCAACAUCAGUUUUGUCCGGUGGAUAAGGGCAGGAGGAAGGUGGCACCCUCGGGUGUGUUAUAGCCUCCUGUCGCAUACAUCGGGC